rnacentral:rRNA from 1 species
UUAGAGUUUGAUCCUGGCUCAGGAUGAACGCUAGCGGCAGGCUUAACACAUGCAAGUCGAGGGGCAGCGAGAUCAGUGCCUGCACUGAUUGUCGGCGACCGGCGCACGGGUGCGUAACGCGUAUGCAACCUACCCAUUACAGGGGGAUAACACUGAGAAAUCGGUACUAAUACCCCAUAACAUCCAGGGAGGCAUCUUCUUGGGUUGAAAACUCCGGUGGUAAUGGAUGGGCAUGCGUUGUAUUAGUUAGUUGGUGGGGUAACGGCUCACCAAGACAACGAUACAUAGGGGGACUGAGAGGUUAACCCCCCACAUUGGUACUGAGACACGGACCAAACUCCUACGGGAGGCAGCAGUGAGGAAUAUUGGUCAAUGGACGCAAGUCUGAACCAGCCAUGCCGCGUGCAGGAAGACGGCUCUAUGAGUUGUAAACUGCUUUUGUACGAGGGUAAACGCAGAUACGCGUAUCUGUCUGAAAGUAUCGUACGAAUAAGGAUCGGCUAACUCCGUGCCAGCAGCCGCGGUAAUACGGAGGAUUCAAGCGUUAUCCGGAUUUAUUGGGUUUAAAGGGUGCGUAGGCGGUCGGAUAAGUUAGAGGUGAAAUCCCGGGGCUCAACUUCGGAAUUGCCUCUGAUACUGUUCGGCUAGAGAGUAGUUGCGGUAGGCGGAAUGUAUGGUGUAGCGGUGAAAUGCUUAGAGAUCAUACAGAACACCGAUUGCGAAGGCAGCUUACCAAGCUACUUCUGACGUUGAGGCACGAAAGCGUGGGGAGCAAACAGGAUUAGAUACCCUGGUAGUCCACGCAGUAAACAAUGAUAACUCGU